rnacentral:rRNA from 1 species
CGUAGGUGGCAAGCGUUAUCCGGAAUUAUUGGGCGUAAAGCGCGCGUAGGCGGCGAGAUUAGUCUGAUGUGAAAGCCCCCGGCUCAACCGGGGAAGGUCAUUGGAAACUGUUUCGCUUGAGUGCAGAAGAGGAGAGUGGAAUUCCAUGUGUAGCGGUGAAAUGCGCAGAGAUAUGGAGGAACACCAGUGGCGAAGGCGGCUCUCUGGUCUGCAACUGACGCUGAUGUGCGAAAGCGUGGGAUCAAACAGGAUU